UUAAAUUGAAGAGUUUGAUCAUGGCUCAGAUUGAACGCUGGCGGCAGGCCUAACACAUGCAAGUCGAACGGUAACAGGAAGCAGCUUGCUGCUUUGCUGACGAGUGGCGGACGGGUGAGUAAUGUCUGGGAAACUGCCUGAUGGAGGGGGAUAACUACUGGAAACGGUGGCUAAUACCGCAUAACGUCGCAAGACCAAAGAGGGGGACCUUCGGGCCUCUUGCCAUCAGAUGUGCCCAGAUGGGAUUAGCUUGUUGGUGAGGUAACGGCUCACCAAGGCGACGAUCCCUAGCUGGUCUGAGAGGAUGACCAGCCACACUGGAACAGCGACACG
rnacentral:rRNA from 1 species